CCUACCACCAUACAAGGCACACAUUGCAGCGCGUGCACUAGCGAAUUUUCUGUUUACCAUGGCCGACACGGCACAUUCAACAGCGCUGCCGGUGUUGGGCGAGGGGAAGCGCGGCGGUAACGGUCGCCUCACCACCAUCGCGGCUCCAGUAUCCGCGGAUGGCUCCAUGGACCACGUGGCGCUCUACCGCCAGUUCUGCGCGGAGGAAGGCUGCAAGGCGAACUCGGCGUUUCUCCGCUACAUGCAAGACCGCGGCGGCCACUUCAGCCUCGAGCGACUGAAUCUCAGCAACAACUACCUCGGCUCCAAGGGACUUCGACCAGUGAUCCGCAUGAUUGACCUGUGCCAAACCAUCGUAUCCAUCAACCUCGAGAAUAACGGAAUCAACAACGACGCCGUUAUGGGCCUCUGCGAGGUGCUUCAGCGCCACGUCAGCAUCACCUCGCUCAACUUGAGCCACAACCCCAUCUCCGUUGCAGGGGGGAGGCGGCUGCUGCAGCUUGUCGAAGAUAACCCCCGCAUCACCGAGUUGCUUCUCAACGGGACCGACAUCUUCGAAGGGUCGCAGAGCCGCAUCCGCAUGGCCCUGCAGCGCAACUCCGCUACCCAGCUAAGCUCCGGGCCGCACAUGGAGGUGAACAAGGAGGUGGCGAGCCCUGCCGCCCUGGCCAGGGCGGCAAGGUGUCAGCCGCCGUCGCCCCCUGCGCGCCGGCGCGGUGGCCCCGCGGCGGCCAACACCCUGCCUGUCUUGACGUCACCCAAAGCCACACUGCAGGCGAUCCAUCAUCACCCCCGCAGCGCCGACAAUGCAGCUGCAGACGGCCCCUCCGCAGGGGCAGCGUCGACGUUCAGUGGUGCUGUGUCGCGCCGCAGUCCUGUGAACGGUUCGUCAAGUUCUUGCAACGGCUUUUCGUACAGUGCUACGUCCGCCGCGGUAUUGGAGGCGUCGCCGCGGCACACGUGGCACGAGGUCACGCUCGGAAAACCACAGCCUCGCCCGCCGCACCCCGCGGUGGCCUCGCAGGAGCACAAGAGUUUUUCCUUGAGCAAGGUGAAAGACCUCAAGACGCUCUUCGCCGAGCGGGCGCGGCUGCUCACGGAGAUCAACCGGGGGGAGGCCAGCCGGCGCGCUUAUGCGGCGCGCCAAGAGCUGAUGGCGCUGGAGCGUCAUGGCCGACCCACCGAGGCCACCGCCACUGGUGCGCAGUCCCGCACGUACCCGGGCGCGGCGACAACAAGCAUUCCCCUGCCAGUCCUGCUGACGAACGUGGACGAGGAGGGCAGUCCCACUGCCAACGCCAUCGGCGGCGACGGCGGCGCCGAGAACGCCUCCGUCGACAUCUCCGCCGCGCCACACGUCGCCGUGUCUAGUGGCGGAGAAACAACGGAAGCGGUGCAGCGCAGUGGCAAUGCCCACGCAGCGUCCCCGCCCUCCUCCCUGGCAGGUGCAACAGCGUGCAUCAAUGACGCCCCGGCACCGACCACGGUGGUAGGGGUGCAGUCUGCUGAGGCGGGCCUCGCGGACGGGGCCGCCUUGGCUGUCCCGGAGGAGAGGCCCCAGGCCCACACCAUCGACGAUGUGUUGACUCUGACUCGCAUGAAGCUCCUGACCACGGAGGAGCAGUUCACGGUGCUGUUCGACCAGGGUUGUCGCGAGUACAUGAAUCGCAACCUGGAUGCCGCGUACAUGGCGUGGAACGAGGCGAUGCGGAUAGCGGUGCGUGAGGGACAGCGGGAGUGGAUGGCGGUGGUGGCGAGCAACCUGCAGCGGCUCAGCUACGAGCUCCUCGUCGAGGAGGGCGCCUCGCACCUCGAGCAUGGUGAGCUGGACAAGGCGCUGGAAACAUUCAAGCUCGCCUACGACGUGGCCAUGAAGGCGAAGAACGCAGCCUGGGAGCGGGACAUGCGCACGGCGCUGCAGAAUGUGCAGAAGGCGCUCUUCCACCGCUGCCAUGAGGCGGCCCUGCUCCUUUUCCGCCGCGCUCAGGAGGACAUGAGUGGCAGCGUCGCAGCUACGACGGUGACGGAGGACGACUAUUUUCUAAUCCCCGGCACGGAGGAAAUGGUGCGCCACACCGCCGCCUUCGUACGAGAGUGGUCGUGUCUGCUGUUGCUGAAAGAGGCGGUCGGCAUGUGGGUGGAGGCGACUCGGGCCACGGGGCGGCUCAGCGAGGCGGCCGCCGCCCCGCUGAAGGAAUCUGUGAAAGAUGCGGUGUCGCUCGUCGCCGCCUUCAUUGCGGAGCACCACUUCAACGCAGCGUCCCCGACGGGCCUGACGUGGUUCGGCACGGACGCCUACCUCUACCACGAGUGCAUCCUCCUUAGCGAGCUGUGGUGCGACCUCGUCGCGUACAGCGAGCAGAACUUGCAUCACGGGCUGCUGAGCGCCAUCUGCGCCGCCCAGCUGGGUGAGCUGUACGUCGCCACCUUCCAGCUUCCGCAGGCCCUCGUUCAACUGAACAAGCUGGUCACCUACGGUCGAACGCAGCGAUCCGCUGUGCUUGAGGCGGCGGGCCUGACACUGUGCGGUCGUGUGCAUCUUCAGCGAGCAGACUACGCACUGGCGGAGGCGGCCCUCGACGAGGCCCUGCGAAUCUGGACGGAGCUGCAGAGCGAUCCAGCGCCGAAGGUGCUGGCUGACAGCCGCGACGCCGGGGUGUGGCAUCGCUACGACGUGGCACUGAUGGACGCCUCUUCGGUGACAGCAGACGAGACCGCCGUCGCAUCGGCACAGGCGACGGCGGUUCAGAAGAGUGCGGCGAGCGCGCCUGCCAAGGCGGCGGCCGCCGUGCCGGACAGGCUUGAGGAGAUGAGAGGCACUACUGGCCACGGCAACAGCAGCACCCGCUUCCGCAUCGAGACGCAUCUCCCGACGGACGCGGUCGCCGUGCUCGCCAACAUGUGCCGGCACUACAAGGUAUGCCUGCUGCUGCACACGUACCGCUACAGCGCCGCCCUAGAGGCGCUGGAGAGCAGCCUCAACAAUGCCUACAGCGACACCCUGCGCGAGAAGCUGAGGCGCAACUUUCACCUCAGUCCGUCUCUCGAUGAGAUCGCCGCCAUCGCCGGCGUGCUCAAGACGCCGCUGGUCUUUUACACCCUGGCCACCAAGUACGACUGGGCCGCCACGGAGAGCGGCUACGCAGCGGAGGACUCGCUGUGCAUCUGGGUGGUCUCCGAGUCCCGGGAGAUGCGCUUUGUGGAGGUCAACCUGGCCAAGGACUUCAGGUGCACCCUGAGCGGCCUCAUAGCCUCGCUGCGGCGGCAGCUCUGCAUCGAGCCGGAGAUGGCGGUGCAGCCGGACAUUAUCACGGAGCUGCCGAGUCUCUCCUGGCAGGAGCCGCUGCGGGUGCUCUACCAGGCGUGCAUCCACCCCAUCAUCGGCUACGUGCGCGCGCUAGACUCGCAUCUGCUCCUCGGUGACGGCAUCAUCACCGUGGUGCCGAGCGGGCAGAUGUGGCUGGUGCCCUUCCACGCGCUGCUGAACGUCAAAGCCGGCGACCGGUAUUUCGUCGAGGAAGCCGCCGUCCAGAUGGCCUUUUCCGCUACACAAGCCGCCCUCGCCGCCCUCAGCGCGGAGCGGGUGCAGCAGCAGGACCUGCACCGGGAGGUAGUAGCGGUGCAGCGCGACGCCGAUCACGGCGCGGCCGACGCUCUCUUCUACACGCCCUUCCCGUUCGACACGGACAGGUCGGAGCAGGAAGGCGCAGCAGUUGUAGAGUUGCUGAGUGCGGGACAGGUGCAACUGGUGGAGCAACUCCGCCGGCAUUGCGCUCCUGAGAAGGCUAUCUUCACCCGCAAGGUAGAACUCGUGGAAGACGUGGAGUCGCUGCGGGCAGUCCUGCCGCGCGCCCGCGCCGUGCACAUCGCCACAGCCACAACCGCAUCAGCUCCUUUGUCGCAGGCGAGCGCCAUCGACAAGACUGCCUCGCGGCCAGAGGACGAAGGAGGUCUACUGAUGCGCACUGCAGCCCCGAUGGGAGACGUUGGCGUGAUUCGGGCGGCCGAGAUUGCGCACAUGGAGCUGGCGGCGGAGCACGUGAUCUUGACGAACACAAACAUGUCGCCGCAGCACACGGACGGCAUCCGCGACGACGUGCUCGGGCUGCUGCGCGGAUUUUUUGGCAGCGGCGUGCCGUGUGUGAUUGCGGGGCAGUGGUGCACGCCGGACAUGAAGCCGAUGGAGCUCUUCCGGUAUUUCUACGCGCAGCGGUGUCGCCCGCUGCCAACGUCGCCGGCCGACUUGUCUGUUCGUACGGACACCGCCUCCGGAGGCAGUGUGAGCGCCAGCAACGAGCAGUCCUCCAGGGUUGCACAGCCGCAGGUCGUCGCCGGAGAGGAGGAGCCGAAGGAGGAAGGGGAGAUGGCGCGCCAUCGUGCGUUGCUGCUCGCCCGCUCUAUUCGCCACCUUCUCACUGAGGAGCCGGCGAUGCGCUACCGGCCACGUGUGUGGGCAGGCUACUACUGCAUUGGCAGCGGGUGGUAGUCGCUCAGCUCGUCGCUUAGUUAUUGCGGGGAGUGGGUGGGAAAGGGAAAAACCGCGACGGUAGACCAGGCGUCGGCAAAGGGUCUGCGUGCGCGUGUCUAUCGCACCCACUCCCACCACCCCUGCCCUCAUGUACAGUAGUAGACCGUAACACGACACGCAUCUUGGCGACUCGUGUUGCAGGCGAUGUUCUUUCCGCCACUUGUGUGGCAUUGUGGUCGUCUUAUUGGGCUCUCUGCUUCUCACGUCAUCCUUAUUCGCCAGCGGCUAGUCGUGUGAUCGGACAGGUGGCGUGACGCGGGCGCCCUUCUCGCUCUCCGUGUGUGUGCGUGUGCAUGUGUAUUCGUUUUCUCGCGCCUUCAUGUAAACUACGACACCUGUAAAGUGCGCGUGGGCAUCUGUGCGUGUAUCAUCCCUGCGCCAGCGUCACGCCCUCUCCUGCCGCUCUCUUCUCAGCAAGAAUGUUGAUCAGCGCAGACGAAACUGGAAAGUCAAAGGAGAGGAUCAUCCGUCUGGAAGGCCGGAGGCGGUGCAUGGAUGAUCGUUCCUGAGGGCGGCUACUCUUGUCAGCCCAUCCCCCUUCCACCCUUGCGACCUCUCUGGUGCUGAGCACCCUCCAUGUCAUGAGAAAGUGGUGGUGGCUGUGGUGGUGCAAGCCCCGCAACUGUGUAAAUGGGUGCUUCAGCAGCACCAGCUCACACACACACACACACACACAC
rnacentral:misc_RNA from 1 species